rnacentral:rRNA from 1 species
GACGAACGCUGGCGGCGUGCUUAACACAUGCAAGUCGAACGGAAAGGCCCUGCUUUUGUGGGGUGCUCGAGUGGCGAACGGGUGAGUAACACGUGAGUAACCUGCCAUUGACUUUGGGAUAACUUCAGGUAACUGGGGCUAAUACCGGAUAGGAGCUCCUGCUGCAUGGUGGGGGUUGGAAAGUUUCGGCGGUUGGGGAUGGACUCGCGGCUUAUCAGCUUGUUGGUGGGGUAGUGGCUUACCAAGGCUUUGACGGGUAGCCGGCCUGAGAGGGUGACCGGCCACAUUGGGACUGAGAUACGGCCCAGACUCCUACGGGAGGCAGCAGUGGGGAAUAUUGCACAAGGGGCGGAAGCCUGAUGCAGCAACGCCGCGUGCGGGAUGACGGCCUUCGGGUUGUAACCCGCUUUCGCCUGUGACGAAGCGUGAGUGACGGUAAUGGGUAAAGAAGCACCGGCUAACUACGUG